CUACAGUUGGUAGUCAUUACUCUGUUAGUCAAGCCUUACUAAACACAUAAGGUAUACUCAAGUGGUAUAACUAAAGAUAAUUUAGUAAAAGCACUAUUUUAAAGGUAUAGGCAGGAUUAAAGAACUAACCGAAGAUGAUGAAGCUCCCAGGGACUAGCAACAGUGGGGGAAAUGUUAGCACUCCAGGUCGUGAGGGAAAAGGAAUGAGUAGAGAGCUUCCAAAAUCCAAGGAGAGCUGUGGCCACAGGAAAGGAACCUUCUUACAGGAGCUAAGAUCAUCAGUUAGGGACAAAACCCUUUUGUUGUUACAAAACCACAGUGAGUCAAGGAGGCUGCAAAGCAUUAAGACCCCACUUCCUUCUCUUCCAGCCUUCUGAUUUCCUGUCAAUGCCCCUCAUUGGAUGAAGCCCACUGGAGGCCAGAGGGCAAGGGCACCAGCUUGAUGCCUUGUGGACAGAGGCUCAGAGUGCAGCAGAGAAAGGGGGACAUGACCUGGCUAAAGGUCUGGAGGUCGCUGCAGUUAGCUGGGCUCAUCUGAGGUUGACUCCAGGAUGAAAGUCAGAUCCAAGAUAUCUGCUUCAUGUGCCUCCUCAUCGGAUCAUGGGCUGAAGCACGCGUCACUAGUGCAGACGUGUAGUUCUGUCAGGAGGGCGGGCUUGAGAUGCUCAGCCCAACAAUGCAAGCAGAUUCACAGCCUCUGCUUGGACAUGAUAACACAGGAAGGAAGAGAGAAAAGCUCUUGGAGAAAGAGCCCCCUCAGGGUCAGUGUGUGCCAGUGCGGAGCAGCUGGGCUAAGAUGUGCUCCCCAGCGGACACAGUGCCGGUUCCUGAAACCAGAAGCACUUCUGGACUCGCUGGACUCUCAGGGCCUCUCCGUCCCCCUCGCCACAGUGCCCCUCCCCCACGCCGCAGAGCUGGCUGAUUCGAGGAACAGAAAUGGAGUCACCGUCACAGAAGUCACGCUACAACUUCCAGGAUUAAGUAGGCAGCUAACCAAAUCCGCUACCAGUUUGUGAAAAAAUCCAGUUAUUGGAUUUAAACUAGAAACUUAUUAUUACAUGUUUGUUACACAUUCCAGAUAAUGGGUGCACUUCCCAAACUUACACUGAUUUUGAACACAUGAAUGCUUCCUACAUAUAUCAUAAAGAAUUGUGUGUAUAUUUGCAUUUAUAUACAUAGAUGAAAAAACUGAUAUAAUUAAUUCAUUUAAACUUUGUUAAAAGUAUCAAAAAUAGAUUAUAAAUACCAUUUUUAAAAUAAAACAUUUUUUUCUAAAUGACA
rnacentral:lncRNA from 1 species